GAAGGCUCUUUUUCGGUCAGAUGGCGCGCUGCGGUCCGCCCCCGUCAUUCUCCGGCCCACACACGCACACGCACACACACACGCACAAACGCACACGCACACACUCAAGGACCAAUACUCUGCGCCGGAAGAGGAUUUCUGCCAGUGAUCUCAGACCGGCUCCGGUGCGCGGAGGGGAUUCUACGACGCCGAUCCCGGCCGACCACGCUUCCGCUUCAAGGCGAGAACCCCGGCGUGGAAAGACGAAUAAAAUUCAAGGGCGUGUUUUUUUCUUCUUCUUCUGAUUGCAACAUCUGCCGCUGCUGCUUUUGAAUUGUUUCCACGUCGGAGCCGACUGCUACUCCAAGACUAGAAGAAGCGCAAGCAUGUCUCUUCCGCGCACACUCGGGGAGCUCCAGCUCUACCGGGUCCUGCACAGGGCCAACCUGCUGGCCUACUACGACACCUUCAUCCAGCAGGGCGGCGACGACGUGCAGCAGCUCUGCGAAGCGGCCGAGGACGAGUUCCUGGAGAUCAUGGCCCUGGUGGGCAUGGCCACCAAGCCGCUGCACGUGCGCAGGCUCCAGAAGGCCCUCCGAGACUGGGCCGCCAACCCCACGGUUUUCAGCCAGACCGGGUCCGGCGUGCCCUCGGUCGGGGGGAUCCCGUUGUUUAAAGUCGACGGCACAGGUCCGAGUGGGCCAAGGAGAUCUGUGAGCAACGGUCAGCCGGGGUCACCGUGUGAACGCGAGGAUAGGGCGUGCCUUACCCCCAUGCACAGCGGGAGCCCUCGGAGCCCCUGCUCUCAGGCGUCCCCUCAACCCCCGGACUCGCACUACCGCGAAAAACUGUCCCCCAUGGAACCGCACUGGCUCGGCCCAGAACCCAACGGCAGUUGCGCCUCGUCGGGAAUGGAGGAGGAGCCGCCCAGCCCCCCUCACCCAGCUGUACGUGUUCCCCCGGGGUCUCCGAGUUCCUCCACCAACGCUCUGUCGGCCUGGCCCGGGGGACAACUGGACGCCGAGACGGCUCAGUCCGUGGCGGACAGCGUGGAGAGACUCCUCCGGACCCUGCCUCGCUCCGACCCGGCAGAGAUGAAGAGUCUGCUGAGGAUAAACAAGAAGAUGGCCAAGACCGUGGGCCACAUCUUCGAAAUGAGCUCCCGGGACGUGAAAAAGGAAGAGGAGAUCCGCAAGUACAGUCUCAUCUACGGACGCUUCGACUCCAAGCGCAGGGAAGGGAAGCACCUCACGCAGCACGAGCUGAUCAUCAACGAGGCCGCGGCCCAGUUCUGUAUGCGGGACAACGCCCUCCUGCUGAGACGGGUGGAGCUCUUCUCGCUGGCUCGGCAGGUGGCCAGGAAAUGCGCCUACACGUCCACGGUGAAGCACGCGCGGCCAAACAUGGAGGACAACAGUCUGCUGCCUCAGAAGAGAGCGAGACUUGAGCUGACCGAGAACACGUCGUCACCCCUGGCAACGGAGGGCGUUGAGGUGUUGAAUGACGACAGCUUGUCGGCAGGAAGUCCGGACAGCGUGUCACAUGACGUGGCGUCACAAUGCAACCAGUCGCCCUCGCCGUGCCCCCCCGCCGACAGCACCAACCCCGCCACCUGGAGUCGCCAUCUCAUGCAGCAAACGCUCAUGGACGAAGGUCUGCGAUUGGCUCGCCUGGUGUCACAUGACCGGGCCGGCAAGAUCAAAUUAGGGUCAGAGGGAGCUCACGCCACAGGGUGGAUUUGUCGCAAUUAGUUUGUCGGCUGUUGGCGACCCUCGUGACGUCCCGCGCCGUAGUUUGAGCACCCAGUCAACUUGGAGCAUGACGUGAAAAGUCAGCGGCGCAGCUCCAUCACAUCGUGCCGGAGCAGCAGCCCGAACGUCACGAAAGACAAUUCCAACCCCAGAGGAAAGUAACGAGAACGGAACACCCCAACCCACAAAGGACUGCCAUCGACGGAGAUACCUUGUACAAUACAGACUUUUAUCCUGGCGAAUGUGGUUCGCACAUCGGCCUGGGUUCGAACCCUUGGCCCCGCGCUUGAGUGGGGUGUGUAAAUAUAACCCACCUGGGACGUUCGGAAGGAGAGGCGAGCGCGCUAACCACCGGGAGCGAGCAUUUACCAACGUAUGCAUGGCACGGCCACACUGGUGUGAAUGCUUGGUUUGUUUACAUGCGCCCUGUGAUUGGCCGGCAAAUAGUCCCGCCUCUGUAAGGGACUUACUCGCCAGCAGAGUAAUUUGGCAACGUCUGGCACUUAACGUUCAAAAAUAAUAUUCAAUGGAGGCAAGUCAAACACUGGCGCCAGGCGGAAAAACGGGUUUUCCCUUUAUACCGCCAACGAGCUCGUUAAAUGGAUUUCUGGCUAACCUGACAAUGAUUGACAGCUCACAGCAGCCGACCAAUCAGCUUUCAGAUGUGACGUAGGAGCCACAAACAAGGUUCGAUUCCCAGCCAGGACAUAACACACUGCAAAAACUGAAAUCUAAGUAAGAUGAAAUAUCUCAAAUAAGGGUGAUAUUUGCUUAUUUUCUGUCUGGUAAGAUAAUUUUUCUCACUAAGCAGAUUUUAUGUUAGAGUAUUUUACUUGUUUCAAGGGUUUUGCUCCUAAAGGAUCUCAGUAAGAUACUACAGCUUGUUUCUGGCAUUUUAUGACCUAUUUUGAGUAAUAUAUGCUCGAAACAAUUUUUGUCCAAGUGUCCAAAACACACCCAGCAAUGGUGCACAGGAAGGCGGGUAAGAAGGGGGGGAAAGGGCGGCCAAAAUAUUCAUAAGUCCCAAUUGUGUACAAAAUACCUCCCCGGGUUCCAGUCCCACGAAUCCCGCCGCCGGCCACACAAAUUUCCAAAACGCACCCAGCAAAGUCCCACGGGAAGUAGGGGGGAAAAAGGAGAAAAGUCAGCAAAAGUCCCCCAAAAUUUUCAAAAUACCUACUAAGGUUCGAGUCCCAACCGGGUUCGAGUUUGAGUUUGAGUGCACACUCCAACCCGGGUGGGAAUUUUGAACAUUUCACCGACUUUUCUCACUUUUCUCCCCACCUUCCCGUGGGACUUUGCUGGGCCCGUUUUGGACAUUCUGGGCAUCCCGGCCGGCGGCGGAACUUGUGGGACUCGAACCUGUGUAGGUAUUUUCAACAAUUUUGGGACUUUUCCUGACUUGCGCGGCCAUACAUAAGAUUUUAUACUUGUUUUAAGUGUUUAGGUCUUAAAUGAUCUCAGUAAGAUAUUACAGCUUGUAGCUGAGAUUUGAUGACCUAUAUUGAGUAAAACAUGCUUGAAACUAGAAUAUCAACUGUUGCAAAGCUGAGUCAUCAACACUCACAAGUAUAAAACUACUUUUCAAAGUAAGAAUUUCUUAUUUCAAAAAUGCAAAACAAAAUCAAGACUUUUACACAAUUGUUUCUCAUAUUAAAACAGAUGACAGCCAAAUAGACUUUGCCGUUUUAUUUUCAAUGCAAUAAUAGAAAAUACGUACUCGCAUAGUUGUACACUUGUUAUGAGUGAGAAUAUACUUAUUUUAAGGUAUUUUUGGGGUUUUGAAGUUAGCUAAUUUUACUUGUUUUGGAAAGUCUUGACAAGCCAAAUUUUCUUGUUCUAUUGGCAGAUAAUUUUGCUUAGAUCAAGUAAAAUACCCCUCAUUUUUGUAUUUUUUUUUCUUGUUUUUGAACGCUGACUUUUUGCAGUGCAGGUAAACUAAAUCCCAAUGCAAUCCUGAAAAAAAAGAAAAGAAAAAGUAAGAAGGUAUUUAUUUUGUUCUGUUAAUUUUGUCGUUUUGUACUAAAAAAUAAUGAAUCACUUAACAUGCAUACGAGCCCUUAAAAAACACGCCCCCUGCAAGCCCCGCCCCCUGCACGCAAGCCAGUUUUGUAAAUCCAAAUCUGAUCCAAGCGCAUGACUGAAUACGUUGUGACUACGUUCAAUAAAAGUGAACUCCUUUUGCUGGCUUGUGAA